rnacentral:lncRNA from 1 species
CGAGCACUCCGGAAGUUGCCCCGCCCAGGAGGCUCCUGGGAAAGUGAGGAGAGGGCCCGGGCCUACUUUCGUCCUGGUGUGGCGCCCCUCAGCCUCCCCUCCUCCCAGUUCCCGCGCCUCCGCAGGGCGCCUCGGCCUGGCCUCCAGGCAAAGUUCGCGCCCCCUGUUCCUGGGGUGUCGGCCGCGCGGGCCGUUUCCCUUCAUUACUCCCGGGCCCCUGAAUCCGAACGCUUUCCCAGAAGCGCGCAAAUCCGCUUGCUUUCCCCGCGGCUGGGCUUUGUUCAGGGACAGCAAAGGAGGAGGCGGGAGGCUGGUGAGGUUUUCUGGAAAAGGGGCUUGUCCCGAGGAGGAAGUGCCCCAGAUCCCUGAGAGCCAACGCUCUGGGGAGAAGAAACUUUCCUUCUCCCUUGAAUGUUGCUCAGAUUACCUAAAAUUAUUUUUUCAGCCCUUGUGUUCUAAAGUCGCAGGGUAAAGGUUAUCUUAAGACUUAACAUCAGCGCUGCUCAUUUGUACGUUGGUGGAGACGUGCCUUUUUUCCUUUGCACUUAAGGUGGACAGGGUCUGCGACGCUCCCUUCCAGGACGGUGUGGGGAAGCGGCCGACGUCCCCAGCCGGACUCACGCCCUCCUACUACUGGGCGUCGGCUCCGCCGCGGGCGCUCCCGACAGGGAGCUGGAGUCGGACGAGCGGCUGCCCCCAGGGCCUCCAGGAACCGCGGCCCAGCGGGGAGCGCCCCAGGCUAGCGCUUUUCCAGUUCCCUUCGAAAGCGCGGGGCUGAGGUCGCGGCGCUGGGCCCUCGGAUGAAGCCGUGCUGUAGCUACACCUGAACCCCGCGAAAGGCUGGCGCGGUCGUGUAUCCAGGCUGGGUCUGAGGAAUCCGCAAGCGGGAGAGCGCUAACUCCUAGGCGUGAGCCGCUGCUGGCUUCGAGAGUUCGAGAACAUGAAGGACCUGGCUUCUCCCGCCCGGUCGGCUUAGGGCCAGCGAGGUCACAGGCCGUUCUGCUCUCCCUGUUUGUCCCCAAAGGCCUCGGCACGUGGGGAUCUGGAGCAGGCCUCAGGCUGCGACCCGUCUCUUCCCCUACCAAAAUUAUGUGGGAACAGCGGUCCAGGACCUUCCCCUGUUCAGCGGUAUCCCCGGGCCGGUGACCCCGGGGUUCAGUCGUCUCCCCGACCCCAAGCGGCCUCUGCUUUCCACCCCUCGCCCCGGAGGGCGGCUUCGGGGAUCUCAUGGGGGGUUUGCAUGAGUCUGUCCCCAGCCAACUGAGGGAGAACCAAGACAUUAUUGCCAUCUAAAGAAAUUGAUUGCUGGAUGCCCCACUGCCUGGCUGGACAUUCCCCCAACUCCUUUCAAUUUGAAGCGGGCCGAAGAGCGAGGUCGAGAAGCUGACCAGGUGAGAGCUGAGUAGUUCACGCACAGGAAGAGGGGACAAGUUUUUCUGUUUUCACAGGGGUUCCUCACGCUCAGGCUUCCAGCGUCUGCCUGCACUGACAUCAUCGUGGUCGCGAUGAAAACAGUGAAAUAGGAACCCUGACCUCCCCUUCCAUGAGAAUCCAGCAGAGAAUUUGCUGAUGUGUUAUACAUCCGGGACAAUCGGAAACUGCCGUUUUGAUUGAGUAUUAGUUGGGAUGAGGAGCACAUACCAGGACUCCCAGAUCUGGAGUCCUCACUUUCUCAGCAAGGGCACCUGCAUCCUGAGCUUUUACAUGUACACACACCCAGCGAUUGUGUGUGCCGAGAAAGACCCACAUACGCACAUUGUUUUUUCCUCUUCCACGAUUAUCUGCCAGAAUUCUACUCAGUUAAUUGCGGUUUGAGAACACACCAUCCACAGGAGAGCACCAAUGGAUCUAGUCUAGUGAGGUUACAUUUACUUGUAAUCCUCCCCCUUCCCUUUCCCAUUUCUUUGAUGAUUUUUCCCAUAAGUGUGUAAGCUACUGGGACUUAGUAGAAGCAGGCCGCUCCUCCUAAAUGUGAUUUGGACCAUAUGCUUUCUACAUUCAUUCCCGCUUCGGCUUUUCUUCUCUGCACUAACUGCUAACACGUUAUAGUCACCUUGAAAUUUCCUCUGCUAUUUUCCAAUUAAAAGCUUAAUAGCCCUGGAAACGGAGUUCAUGUGGUGAAGUUUACCACAGCCCCUUGUUCUGAAAGGCUUUCUGCUGGGAUCCCAUUAUGUGCUUGAAUAAACCCUUUCUGCAAACAGAAAUGGGACUCGGGGUUGUCAGGUGUUGGGUUACAAUAGACUUUGAGGCAGGGGACAUUUUACCAACAUAAAUACAAACCUGUCCCUAUAGGGAGAUGUUGUCAAAUACUGGGAUAUGGAAAACAUUCCCAUCAAAUAUGAGAAAAGGAUUACUGCACUAUAUCAAAUGAGUAUUUAGAUCUCAGCCCCCGAUGUGCACCGGAGUGAAACGGGCCCCCGGGACCAAAUGCCAGACUGUUUGAGUGGCAACGAGAUAGGGUGGCUAGGUGACCGACGGGGGAAAAGGGGUCGCCUUGGUAGUGAAAGUGCCCCCACAAACCUGGUGCAGAGCUCUUCUGCUUUCCUUUUAAAAAUUUAUUCAUACUCAAGUUCUUUAUACUUCCUCGUUUCACUGUUUGAAGAAAAUCGGAAGAAAUUUGGUUUUGAAAAAAGUCGUUGGUCCCCACGUUUCCAAGAGAUCCGGAGGUUUCAGCGCAAUAGUUUUCAGUUAAGGUGUCAUUUGAGGCCCUCUAUAUCGCAGCACGUUAAAUGACUCGCGUCCAGCUCCCCAUUUCCUAGCCUCGGGCCUACAGGGCUGGGGGCGACCUCUGCCUCCCGUCCCCAGAGCUUACAAAAUUCCUUCCAGUUGUAUUUUAGGGCUUGUUUUCCUAGAGAAGGUUGAGACUAGAGGAAGGAUUAAAGUGGUGGGGGAAGGGGCAAGACCGAGGGGUCCCUACCCCACGCGGCUUUGGAGGAUGGCCUCCCAGGGUUAGCACUCGAAUGCUAGAGCUUCUUGUCCACACUCUACCAGGUCAGUGUCCCGCGAUCCCCACCUCCCGGACGCGUAUGAAACGGGAACAGCUAAGGGCUUCAAGGGAAACACACAACUGGGGUUCGGUUUUCAACCCUCCUCUCCGCAAAUCAGCCUUCUGGGCAGAGGGUUGGCUGCUAGAACGCCUGGAGGUGCUUCCCUUGAAUUCAUGGCAAACACCAGAGGAAAGUUUUCAGGUUGCUUGCUUACUUCCAGGGCAGUACAGAGAAAAGCGGCCUCCCCGAGGGGACAAGGGCCUCUGUGCCCAUGAGGGGUCGGA